GAGGAGUGAAAAACGGGGCUCCUCUCUGGCCAAAGAAGCCUACCUGUUAGAUGGAGUUUAUGGCUGGCUGAACUUACAUAGCUGGGAUUUCAGAGAGAAGAACCUUAACCCUGAGAUGAGGGUAAAGCUAAAGGGGCCAGUGAGACUGAGAAAAUGGAUCUGGAUGGAGGGACAGGUGAAAUAUUUCAUCCUGCAGUGGACCUGAGACCAGAUUUGGUGGGUGAAUUGACAGGAGUGGCAUCGAAAAGGAUUUUCCCCUGCAGUGGGGCUGAGAGCAGUUGGAGUGCAGGGAUUCCUGGACCGGAGCAGCACUGAGAGUCUCUGCCUUCAGGGGCACUCGGAGUGACUGUUGCGAGUACAUUCAUCGAGAGAACAGAUUCCCAGCCUUGUCAGGUGGACAAGGCACCUGCACAUUAAAAAUGAAUUUGUUUUA